rnacentral:rRNA from 1 species
GACGAACGCUGGCGGCGUGCCUAAUACAUGCAAGUCGAACGCAGUUGCGAACGGGUGAGUAACGCGUAGGUAACUACCUAUUAGAGGGGGAUAACUAUUGGAAACGAUAGCUAAUACCGCAUACUAGUAGAUGGACCUGCGUUGUAUUAGCUAGUAGGUAGGGUAAUGGCCUACCUAGGCAACGAUACAUAACCGACCUGAGAGGGUGAUCGGCCAACCUGGGACUGAGACACGGCCCAGACUCCUACGGGAGGCAGCAGUAGGGAAUCUUCGGCAAUGGGGGGAACCCUGACCGAGCAACGCCGCGUGAGUGAAGAAGGUUUUCGGAUCGUAAAGCUCUGUUGUUAAGGAAGCGGUACUUAACCAGAAAGGGACGGCUAACUACGUGCCAGCAGCCGCGGUAAUAC